rnacentral:rRNA from 1 species
UACGUAGGGGGCUAGCGUUGUCCGGAUUUAUUGGGCGUAAAGAGCGUGUAGGCGGCCAGGUAGGUCUGCUGUGAAACUCGAGGCUCAACCUCGAGACGUCGGCGGAAACCAUCUGGCUAGAGUCCGGAAGAGGAGAGUGGGAAUUCCUGGUGUAGCGGUGAAAUGCGCAGAUAUCAGGAAGAACACCCGUGGCGAAGGCGGCUCUCUGGGCAAUAACUGACGCUGAGACGCGAAAGCGUGGGGAGCAAACAGG